rnacentral:rRNA from 1 species
AAACCAACAGGGAUUGCCUUAGUAACGGCGAGUGAAGCGGCAAAAGCUCAAAUUUGAAAUCUGGCACCUUCGGUGUCCGAGUUGUAAUUUGAAGAAGGUAACUUUGGAGUUGGCUCUUGUCUAUGUUCCUUGGAACAGGACGUCACAGAGGGUGAGAAUCCCGUGCGAUGAGAUGCCCAAUUCUAUGUAAAGUGCUUUCGAAGAGUCGAGUUGUUUGGGAAUGCAGCUCUAAGUGGGUGGUAAAUUCCAUCUAAAGCUAAAUAUUGGCGAGAGACCGAUAGCGAACAAGUACAGUGAUGGGAAAGAUGAAAAGAACUUUGAAAAGAGAGUGAAAAAGUACGUGAAAUUGUUGAAAGGGAAGGGCUUGAGAUCAGACUUGGUAUUUUGCGAUCCUUUCCUUCUUGGUUGGGUUCCUCGCAGCUUACUGGGCCAGCAUCGGUUUGGAUGGUAGGAUAAUGACUAAGGAAUGUGGCUCUACUUCGGUGGAGUGUUAUAGCCUUGGUUGAUACUGCCUGUCUAGACCGAGGACUGCGUCUUUUGACUAGGAUGUUGGCAUAAUGAUCUUAAGCCACC